UGCUAACUGGCACAAAGUAUGACUGAGGCUGAUGGGAAUGUCAUUAGUUUUGCAGGUAUUUGGUUAUAGACAAAAGUAUUGGACAAAGAACGAUGAUGACCUGAUGGUGGAUCAGCAAAGUGAUAACAAUCAAGAUAUUCCGCUAAAAAACAGAAACAUCAACCUCAUAGUGGCACUAGAGGAAAAAUAAUUAGACGCUCACCAAAGUCAUCAGGAAACCCAACUUAAAAUUACGAUCACAUUGCGGUUUAUUUCCAUCUUUACGCCAAAUAACUCUGUGCUUUACGGUCUUAUCUUUAGCUAAUGUUCAAUUCAAACUGGAAAUUAUUAAAUAUAAAUAAAGUACAGAGGUGACAUUAUCUGAACAUUUUUUUUUAAUUACUUUAAAAAGAAAACAAAAACAACAUGCAAAUAAAUUUUAGUCUAACUUAACUUGGGUUGAUCUGUCCGUAACUCGACUGGAAUAGUUGGAAAUAACACUGGGUGGCUUCAGCAUGUAGAAUGAUAGGCCUCCAUUUCACAUGCAGUCAUGCAGUUUG